CUAACACAUGCAAGUCGAGGGGUAGAGUUAGCUUGCUAACUUGAGACCGGCGCACGGGUGCGUAACGCGUAUGCAAUCUACCUUGUACAGGGGGAUAGCCCAGAGAAAUUUGGAUUAAUACCCCAUGGUGUUUAGAAGUGGCAUCACUUUUUUACUAAAGUUCCAACGGUACAAGAUGAGCAUGCGUCCCAUUAGCUAGUUGGUAUGGUAACGGCAUACCAAGGCUAUGAUGGGUAGGGGUCCUGAGAGGGAGAUCCCCCACCCACUGGUACUGAGACACGGACCAGACUCCUACNGGGAGGCAGCAGUGAGGAAUAUUGGUCAAUGGUCGCAAGACUGAACCAGCCAUGCCGCGUGCAGGAAGACGGUCCUAUGGAUUGUAAACUGCUUUUAUACAGGAAGAAACCCUCUCACGUGUGGGAGCUGACGGUA
rnacentral:rRNA from 1 species